rnacentral:rRNA from 1 species
UGGGGAAUAUUGGACAAUGGGCGGAAGCCUGAUCCAGCAACGCCGCGUGAGGGAUGACGGCCUUCGGGUUGUAAACCUCUUUCGGUGGGGACGAAGCGCAAGUGACGGUACCCACUAAAGAAGCACCGGCCAACUACGUGCCAGCAGCCGCGGUAAUACGUAGGGUGCGAGCGUUGUCCGGAAUUAUUGGGCGUAAAGGGCUCGUAGGCGGUUUGUCGCGUCGGGAGUGAAAACCAGGUGCUUAACACCUGGCUUGCUUUCGAUACGGGCAGACUAGAGGUAUGCAGGGGAGAACGGAAUUCCUGGUGUAGCGGUGAAAUGCGCAGAUAUCAGGAGGAACACCGGUGGCGAAGGCGGCUACCUGGACAUCAACUGACGCUGAGACGCGAAAGCGUGGGGAGCAAA